AUUGAACGCUGGCGGCAGGCCUAACACAUGCAAGUCGAGCGGAUGAAGGGAGCUUGCUCCUGGAUUCAGCGGCGGACGGGUGAGUAAUGCCUAGGAAUCUGCCUGGUAGUGGGGGAUAACGUCCGUAAACGGGCGCUAAUACCGCAUCCGUCCUGAGGGAGAAAGUGGGGGAUCUUCGGACCUCGCGCUAUCAGAUGAGCCUAGGUCGGAUUAGCUAGUUGGUAGGGUAAAGGCCUACCAAGGCGACGAUCCGUAACUGGUCUGAGAGGAUGAUAAGUCACACUGGAACUGAGACACGGUCCAGACUCCUACGGGAGGCAGCAGUGGGGAAUAUUGGACAAUGGGCGAAAGCCUGAUCCAGCCAUGCCGCGUGUGUGAAGAAGGUCUUCGGAUUGUAAAGCACUUUAAGUUGGGAGGAAGGGCAGUAAGUUAAUACCUUGCUGUUUUGACGUUACCAACAGAAUAAGCACCGGCUAACUUCGUG
rnacentral:rRNA from 1 species